UACGGGGGGGGCAAGCGUUGUUCGGAAUUACUGGGCGUAAAGGGCUCGUAGGUGGCCAACUAAGUCGGACGUGAAAUCCCUCAGCUUAACUGGGGAACUGCGUCCGAUACUGGAUGGCUCGAGUUUGGGAGAGGGAUGCGGAAUUCCAGGUGUAGCGGUGAAAUGCGUAGAUAUCUGGAGGAACACCGGUGGCGAAGGCGGCUCACUGGACUGGUACUGACGCUGAGGCGCGAAAGCGUGGGGAGCAAACGGG
rnacentral:rRNA from 1 species